rnacentral:rRNA from 1 species
GGUUAAGCGACUAAGCGUACACGGUGGAUGCCUAGGCAAUCAGAGGCGAUGAAGGACGUGCUAAUCUGCGAAAAGCGUCGGUAAGGUGAUAUGAACCGCUAUAACCGACGAUGUCCGAAUGGGGAAACCCAGUGCAAUUCGUUGCACUAUCGUUUGAUGAAUCCAUAGUCAAACGAGGCGAACCGAGGGAACUGAAACAUCUCAGUACCUCGAGGAAAAGAAAUCAACCGAGAUUCCCCUAGUAGCGGCGAGCGAACGGGGAGCAGCCCAGAGUCUUAAUCAGCAUCAGCAUCAGGAGAACGGUCUGGAAAGUCCGGCAGUAAAGGGUGAUAGCCCCGUAUCCGAAGGUGUUGGUGUUGUGAACUCGACGAGUAGGGCGGGACACGUGUUAUCCUGUCUGAAUAUGGGGGGACCAUCCUCCAAGGCUAAAUACUCCUGAUUGACCGAUAGUGAACCAGUACCGUGAGGGAAAGGCGAAAAGAACCCCGGCGAGGGGAGUGAAAUAGAACCUGAAACCGUGUACGUACAAGCAGUGGGAGCACCUUUUAGGUGUGACUGCGUACCUUUUGUAUAAUGGGUCAGCGACUUAUAUUCUGUAGCAAGGUUAACCGUAUAGGGGAGCCGUAGGGAAACCGAGUCUUAACUGGGCGAUUAAGUUGCAGGGUAUAGACCCGAAACCCGGUGAUCUAGCCAUGGGCAGGUUGAAGGUUGGGUAACACUAACUGGAGGACCGAACCGACUAAUGUUGAAAAAUUAGCGGAUGACUUGUGGCUGGGGGUGAAAGGCCAAUCAAACCGGGAGAUAGCUGGUUCUCCCCGAAAGCUAUUUAGGUAGCGCCUCGUGAACUCAUCUUCGGGGGUAGAGCACUGUUUCGGCUAGGGGGUCAUCCCGACUUACCAACCCGAUGCAAACUACGAAUACCGAAGAAUGUUAUCACGGGAGACACACGGCGGGUGCUAACGUUCGUCGUGAAGAGGGAAACAACCCAGACCGCCAGCUAAGGUCCCAAAGUUAUGGUUAAGUGGGAAACGAAGUGGGAAGGCUCAGACAGCCAGGAUGUUGGCUUAGAAGCAGCCAUCAUUUAAAGAAAGCGUAAUAGCUCACUGGUCGAGUCGGCCUGCGCGGAAGAUGUAACGGGGCUAAACCAUGCACCGAAGCUGCGGCAGCGACAUUUAGAUGUUGUUGGGUAGGGGAGCGUUCUGUAAGCCUGUGAAGGUGUGCUGUGAGGCAUGCUGGAGGUAUCAGAAGUGCGAAUGCUGACAUAAGUAACGAUAAUGCGGGUGAAAAACCCGCACGCCGGAAGACCAAGGGUUCCUGUCCAACGUUAAUCGGGGCAGGGUGAGUCGACCCCUAAGGCGAGGCAGAAAUGCGUAGUCGAUGGGAAACAGGUUAAUAUUCCUGUACUGGUGAUAAUUGCGAUGGGGGGACGGAGAAGGCUAGGCUGGCCGGGCGACGGUUGUCCCGGUUUAAGGAUGUAGGCAGGUGAAUUAGGCAAAUCCGGUUCACUACAUGCUGAGGUCUGAUGACGAGUCACUACGGUGGCGAAGUAGCUCAUGCCCCGCUUCCAGGAAAAGCCUCUAAGCUCUAGAUUAUCAUUAAUCGUACCCCAAACCGACACAGGUGGUCAGGUAGAGAAUACUCAGGCGCUUGAGAGAACUCGGGUGAAGGAACUAGGCAAAAUGGUGCCGUAACUUCGGGAGAAGGCACGCUGGCGCUAGGUGAAGUCCCUCGCGGAUGGAGCUGAAGCCAGUCGCAGAUACCAGCUGGCUGCAACUGUUUAUUAAAAACACAGCACUGUGCAAACACGAAAGUGGACGUAUACGGUGUGACGCCUGCCCGGUGCUGGAAGGUUAAUUGAUGGGGUUAUCCGUAAGGAGAAGCUCUUGAUCGAAGCCCCAGUAAACGGCGGCCGUAACUAUAACGGUCCUAAGGUAGCGAAAUUCCUUGUCGGGUAAGUUCCGACCUGCACGAAUGGCGUAAUGAUGGCCAGGCUGUCUCCACCCGAGACUCAGUGAAAUUGAACUCGCUGUGAAGAUGCAGUGUACCCGCGGCAAGACGGAAAGACCCCGUGAACCUUUACUAUAGCUUGACACUGAACAUUGAGCCUUGAUGUGUAGGAUAGGUGGGAGGCUUUGAAGUGUGGACGCCAGUCUGCAUGGAGCCAACCUUGAAAUACCACCCUUUAAUGUUUGAUGUUCUAACGUGGCCCCAUCAUCUGGGGUGCGGACAGUGUCUGGUGGGUAGUUUGACUGGGGCGGUCUCCUCCCAAAGAGUAACGGAGGAGCACGAAGGUUGGCUAAGCAUGGUCGGACAUCAUGCGGUUAGUGCAAAGGCAUAAGCCAGCUUGACUGCGAGAGUGACGGCUCGAGCAGGUACGAAAGUAGGUCUUAGUGAUCCGGUGGUUCUGAAUGGAAGGGCCAUCGCUCAACGGAUAAAAGGUACUCCGGGGAUAACAGGCUGAUACCGCCCAAGAGUUCAUAUCGACGGCGGUGUUUGGCACCUCGAUGUCGGCUCAUCACAUCCUGGGGCUGAAGUAGGUCCCAAGGGUAUGGCUGUUCGCCAUUUAAAGUGGUACGCGAGCUGGGUUUAGAACGUCGUGAGACAGUUCGGUCCCUAUCUGCCGUGGGCGUUGGAAGAUUGAAAGGGGCUGCUCCUAGUACGAGAGGACCGGAGUGGACGCACCACUGGUGUUCGGGUUGUCAUGCCAAUGGCAUUGCCCGGUAGCUAAGUGCGGAAGAGAUAACCGCUGAAAGCAUCUAAGCGGGAAACUUGCCUUGAGAUGAGUCUUCCCUGACUCUUUAAGGGUCCUAAAGGAACGUUUAAGACUAAGACGUUGAUAGGCUGGGUGUGUAAGCGUAGCGAUACGUUGAGCUAACCAGUACUAAUGAACCGUGAGGCUUAACCUG